rnacentral:rRNA from 1 species
GAUGAACGCUGGCGGCGUGCCUAAUACAUGCAAGUCGAGCGAACGGACGAGAAGCUUGCUUCUCUGAUGUUAGCGGCGGACGGGUGAGUAACACGUGGAUAACCUACCUAUAAGACUGGGAUAACUUCGGGAAACCUGAGCUAAUGCCGGAUGAUAUUUUGAACCGCAUGGUUCAAAAGUGAAAGACGGUCUUGCUGUCACUUAUAGAUGGAUCCGCGCUGCAUUAGCUAGUUGGUAAGGUAACGGCUUACCAAGGCAACGAUGCAUAGCCGACCUGAGAGGAUGAUCAGCCACACUGGAACUGAGACACGGUCCAGACUCCUACGGGAGGCAGCAGUAGGGAAUCUUCCGCAAUGGGCGAAAGCCUGACGGAGCAACGCCGCGUGAGUGAUGAAGGUCUUCGGAUCGUAAAACUCUGUUAUUAGGGAAGAACAUAUGUGUAAGUAACUGUGCACAUCUUGACGGUACCUGAUCAGAAAGCCACGGCUAACUACGUG